rnacentral:rRNA from 1 species
GUGGGGAAUAUUGGACAAUGGGCGCAAGCCUGAUCCAGCCAUGCCGCGUGUGUGAAGAAGGCCUUUUGGUUGUAAAGCACUUUAAGCGAGGAGGAGGCUCCUUUAGUUAAUACCUAAAGAGAGUGGACGUUACUCGCAGAAUAAGCACCGGCUAACUCUGUGCCAGCAGCCGCGGUAAUACAGAGGGUGCAAGCGUUAAUCGGAUUUACUGGGCGUAAAGCGCGCGUAGGUGGCCAAUUAAGUCAAAUGUGAAAUCCCCGAGCUUAACUUGGGAAUUGCAUUCGAUACUGGUUGGCUAGAGUAUGGGAGAGGAUGGUAGAAUUCCAGGUGUAGCGGUGAAAUGCGUAGAGAUCUGGAGGAAUACCGAUGGCGAAGGCAGCCAUCUGGCCUAAUACUGACACUGAGGUGCGAAAGCAUGGGGAGCAAACAGGAUUAGAAACCCGAGUAGUCC